GACAUAUUACUAAAUAAAGAAAGGAAAAUCAUUAGGGUAUCAUAAUAAUUACUCCUAGAAUUUACAUGUCCCCAACAAAAGCAAAAGCAAUAAUUUAAAACAAUUACAGAUUUUUUCUUUUUCCACUACUACAAAAACUACUUUUACCGAUCAAUAUUUAGUGGCAAUAAACUAACUACCGCUAAUUUAUAUUUAAGUAAAAUCUUUACCGGUAAAUAAUUGAUAUCGGGCGAUAAAUCCUUUCACUGACAAUUAAAAUACUUGGCUAGUAAAAGUUAUGCCGGAAAUCGCCAAUUUUUCAUCUUCCCUCCAAUCUUUUCCCCAGUUCCCUCCUUCACUUUUUACAUCAGAGAGGUUUUUCUUAUCAAAUGCCGAUUGAGAUCUCUCUCGACUUAUACUCCCACAUUAGCCCCAAAAUCACUCUCCAUAUCGGUUUAUCUCCCCCACUUCUCUCUCCCCCUAUAAACAAAACAACAUUCAACUAGCAAAAAGUUAGGGCUUGAAAACCACAUAGAAGAACAAUAGCUAUCUUCUUCUAUCUUUAUAGAUUUACUUCAGGUAAGUACUCGAUUACUCAAUUUUUAUUUAGCGUUAAUGUUUAAUCAAAUAGUGUUAAGAAUUUGGAUUUCCCAUUUUUAAUGUCUGGUUUGGAUAAAGAAUUUGCUUUGUAUGACUUUGUUCCUAGUUCUGAACUAUUAAUUUUUGGGGUAUUUUUGUUUGAAUUUUAUAUUGAAUUAGAACUGCAACGAUUACAAUCAAAGGGAGAAACUAUGUGGUCCUUGCCAAAGGGGCGGCUGGAGUUGAAAAAAAAUCCUAUUGCUCUCCUUCCUCAGUUUGACUUUACUUCUAGUAUCCUUUUCGAUUAUCCUGUAAGUUGUAAAUCUUCAUCAUGUUAACUCGAUAUCAGUACUUUUAUGAAAAUUAAUUUUUCUUAAUGUAUUUAUGUGCAUAUUCUUCAAAUAGUCAGUUUUCUUUUUUUAUUUGGAAUGUUUGGCACUUCACAGAUUUGUUUUUUCUAUAAUCUUUGAUAGUCUGAAGGAAUCUAAAAUAAAAUGUGUUGUGGUUUCCUAAUCGCUCUUACUAACCAAAAGUCAGCCUAGCUAUUUUAUUUUAUUCAUUUCUAUGGAUCCGGAUGAUCCGAUGUAUAACUAUAGAAGCAAUGAAAAUCUAUAUGUAUUAUGUAUUAUAGUUAAAAGUCAACCAAAAGUGUUUGUCUACGUCUUUGAUCUCUUUUCUAUAUCGCCGUAUUAGCUUUUAGUUUGCUCCCAUAUGUAUAUAAAUGCAAAAAAAUUAUUGCAAAUUUUGGUGCAAUAUAUCCCAGUUAACUGCAUCUGAAUAUGGUCGUGGGAUCUGACAUGGAGUUGGAAGGCAACCCCUCUGGUGCAUUUGAGAUAUGGGUAAUUGUUACUGUAAUUCAAUUAACCUUUCAUUUUUACUGCUUGAAUUCCUGUGAUAGCUACUAAUUUAAUCUUAGAACGCUCUUUGUCAUCUACGAUCAAAUGUUCUGAAUAUUAAUUUUAGAGGAGGUAGUAUUGGGCAUAUAACUGAAAUAUAACAUAAGAGACUUCGUAGAGAUUGGUGUUACUAACAAAUGAUGUCCGAGACUUAAAGCUGCUGAAGGAGUAAUUUAUAUAAUAAAGAAUGUGAAGAGAUGAUCAGAUAGUUAAUCACGUUUAGACAUCGGAUUUGCUAAUUUCUAAUGCAAGUCUUAUUUAGGUUUGGCCUUAUUCCUUUCUGUGCUUAUAGAUUAAUUUUUCAAAUGUGCAUAGCUUUAAUAAAAAUUAUUAAGUACAUCAAAAACCCAUUAAAAUAUCAGUGAGCUUUAUGAUUGCUUAAAACUUUCAUUUCUACUCUCAUAUAUGCUCUUUAGUUUCUGUUUUGCUUGGUACUUUAAAAAGACUGAGAGGUUACAGUUAGGACUGUAGCUAUUGUACUUGGAUCUUCUUGACCUAAAAGAAGUACUCUAUUGAAGGUGUCACAGAUCGGAACUGGUGGUGAUCUAGCAUAUUUAGAUGGCUAUUCAUCGAGGUGGAGGUCUUGUAUGUGUAAUGCCAAAAAGUUGCAGGUAAAGCUCUUUUUUCUGCUCAAUUUUGUUGAGAGCACUUUGAUAAAGAUACGUCUAAAAGAAUUUUCUAAUGUAAUUUACUUUAAGCUACUUAGCUUUAUGGUAUAAAGAUCUUAGAGAAGCUCACUUUUAGUGGUCUCGUUAUAGUAUUCAUAUUCCCAUCAUUAGAAGGCAAAGAAGAAAAAUCAUCAAUUAUCUUAUUUAUAACUAAUAACAGUCUAGACUAUUUGCUAGUCUGUUUUCUACUAUAUUUCAAGUUCAAGACAUGUUUUUCUUCCGGUUAUAAAAAUAAGUUGGCUCGUACUUGAUUUGUAAGAAUAUUAUAUUAGAUGAAAGUCAUAAUGAAAGAAAUUCACAUUAUGUGAUUCUAAGUAGUUACGCAAGUAAGUAUAUAUUUAAAACGUCAGUGGGCCACUUACACUAUUUUGAUUUGCGAGCAUCAUAUGUUAAGGAGGGUUUGACAAACAUAUCUAACUAUUGGCUUUAGUUACAUUGUUUAGGUAUAAGUUCAAGCACAUAUAGGAUGUACUUCAGCAAUAUGCUGCAAACUAAGAUUAGUAAAAAAAAUUACUUGAAAAUCCUCCGAUAAGACUCAUUUCAAAUAUGCAAUCCGUAUUCAUGCGAUGUUGGUAGAUGGAUCUUGUUUAGCUCUGUAGUCUCCAUAUCUCCAAAACUAUUUUUACCGUACGUGUACUUUCUUUUUGGACUAAUGCAUUAGAUUCUUCUGUGUUUAGCUUCAAAUUUGUUCUGAUGUUUUACAUUAGUUAUUUGGUUUGAUUGCUCAAUCAGAGUUGGACAACUUAACUUGUCCUCAUAGAAUUGGGAUUGAGUUGUUUUCUUGUGUAUCACGGAUCAUCAAGUUUCUAGUUUGUUUGGUUCCAACAACUAGAUCUCUUUAAGCUCUCAAUAAAUCCAUGAUAUGAUUACAUAAUAUAAUGUAUAUCAGACAUCUAAAAUAUGGUAUAUGUAUUAUUUUUGGAAAUUUUCUAACUUUUGAAGCAGAAAAGACCAGGAUUUGUAAAUAUGUUUAUAGUUUUCUCAUACUAUUUUUUUUGCUACCAGUUUGCUUUUAUUGUGGUUAUGUAAUCUAACAAUUAGUUGGCAUGAAGUUUAGACACUCACAUUUCUAUGUAUAUUUCUUUACCGGCAAUUCAGUUGACUUAAAAUUUGUAUUCUAUUAUGUCGUUGAUCUAGGGAAAGAAGAGAAUACAAUUUCCCUUGCUUAUGAAGCAUGUGAUGGGUCCAGGGAAAGAGGAGAAAGGAUACAAUUAUCAUUGAUCUUGGUGAUAAAAGAUGUGAUGAGCAAAAGAUUAGGAUGAAAGGUUGUACAUUCAAAUUUGAGCAUUUGACAUGGAGAUGUUCAAAAUAUUUGGCAUGUGGAAGACCUCAUUAUGAUAAAGAGUUAGAAAAAAUUUAAGUCUAUUGUCUAGUAUAUUAUAGCUAUUUGAUAAGACGCAAGAUGACACCAUCAAUUGUAUUCAAUAAUUUACACUUUUUUAAUGUAUUUGACUCUAUUUAAAUUAUGAAUUAGUACUUGUUUUGCUUGUUUAGAUUUAAUGAAAUGUAUUAUGUGUGUUUUAGGAUUAUUUAUUAUUAUUAUUAUUAUUGAGUGCAAAUAAAUACAAUGGGCAUGAA
rnacentral:lncRNA from 1 species